UCUUAAGAGCAUUUGGUGGAUGCCUCGGUGUCGAGAGGCGAAGAAGGACGUGGCACUCUGCGAUAAGCCGCGGGGAGAUGAGAGCAAUCUUUGAUCCGCGGAUUUCCGAAUGGGGAAACCCGGCCCUUUAGGGUCAUCGUACGGUGAAUCCAUAGCCGUGCGAGGCGAACCCGGGGAACUGAAACAUCUCAGUACCCGGAGGAAAGGACAUCAACCGAGACUCCGCUAGUAGUGGCGAGCGAACGCGGACCAGGCCAGUGGCCAGAGAGUAAGAACCGGAAGCGUCUGGAAAGGCGCGCCUUAGUGGGUGAUAGCCCCGUACGGGUAGAAAGCUCUUUGGUCCUCGAGUAGGGCGGGACACGUGAAAUCCUGCCUGAACGUGGGGGGACCACCCUCCAAGCCUAAGUACUCCUGUGCGACCGAUAGUGAACCAGUACCGUGAGGGAAAGGUGAAAAGCACCCCGACGAGGGGAGUGAAACAGUUCCUGAAACUGGAUGCCUACAAACAGUUGGAGCCCAAGGUUCGUCCUGGGUGACAGCGUACCUUUUGUAUAAUGGGUCAGCGAGUUAAUUUUGCGAGCAAGCUUAAGCCGUUAGGUGUAGGCGUAGCGAAAGCGAGUCUUAAUAGGGCGACUAAGUUUGUUGGAUUAGACCCGAAACCGAGUGAUCUAGGUAUGAGCAGGUUGAAGGUGCAGUAACAUGCACUGGAGGACCGAACCCACGCCUGUUGAAAAAGGCGGGGAUGACUUGUGCCUAGGGGUGAAAGGCCAAUCAAACUCGGAAAUAGCUGGUUCUCCGCGAAAUCUAUUUAGGUAGAGCGUUAGAUGAAUACCAUCGGGGGUAGAGCACUGGAUGGGCUAGGGGGGCGCGAGCCUUACCAAACCUAACCAAACUCCGAAUACCGAGAAGUCCAGUCCGGCAGACAGACCGUGGGUGCUAAGGUCCAUGGUCGAGAGGGAAACAGCCCAGACCGCCAGCUAAGGUCCCCAAGUCACGGCUAAGUGGGAAAGGAUGUGGGAAGGCCAAGACAACCAGGAGGUUGGCUUAGAAGCAGCCACCCUUUAAAGAAAGCGUAACAGCUCACUGGUCAAGCGUUCCUGCGCGGAAAAUGUAACGGGGCUUAAGUGAUACACCGAAGCUGCGGACUCGAAAGAGUGGUAGCGGAGCGUUCUGUAAGUCUGUGAAGGUGACCUGCGAGGGUUGCUGGAGAUAUCAGAAGUGAGAAUGCUGACAUGAGUAGCGACAAAGAGUGUGAGAAACACUCUCGCCGAAAGUCCAAGGGUUCCUGCGCAAGGCUAAUCCGCGCAGGGUGAGCCGGCCCCUAAGCCGAGGGCGAAAGCCGUAGGCGAUGGGAACCAGGUUAAUAGUCCUGGGCCAGCGGGUGGUGACGGAUGCCGUAAGUUGUCCGGGCUGAUCGGAUUGUCCGGGCAGCGAAGGCGUCCCAGGAAAUAGCCCCCGCGCACGACCGUACCCGAAACCGACACAGGUGGACUGGUAGAGCAUACCAAGGCGCUUGAGAGAACUGCGUUGAAGGAACUCGGCAAAUUGCCCCCGUAACUUCGGGAGAAGGGGGCCCCGGCCUUGGGCAACCAGGGUCGGGGGGCACAGACCAGGGGGUGGCGACUGUUUAUUAAAAACACAGGGCUCUGCGAAGCCGCGCAAGGCGACGUAUAGGGUCUGACGCCUGCCCGGUGCCGGAAGGUUAAUUGAUGGGGUUAGCAUCUGCGAAGCUCUUGAUCGAAGCCCCGGUAAACGGCGGCCGUAACAAUAACGGUCCUAAGGUAGCGAAAUUCCUUGUCGGGU
rnacentral:rRNA from 1 species